UGCAGCCAGAUCCCCUUCGCCGCGUCCUCCUCCUCCACCACGCCGCUCCCACGGAAAUCUUCGAGGUUCACAUAAAGGAGCUCAUCGCUGGUUCGCAAAACCUGCGCCUCCGCCUCGACUAUUACCACAGCUGGCACAUGGCCUCCUCCACUUCUUCCUGUUGAUGGUCGCCGCCGCCCACCACAAGCCUAAAACUGCGAUUGCAUUCCAACGGGUAAAGCUGGAUGAUGUUAAGCUUGCUCAUGAAAGACUUGCAGGAUAAAAUCAUAUUGGACCAAGGGUGGUGCGGGACUCUACCAAAGCUGCCAAGGCAACAUGAUGGCCAAGUUAGAGCAAGACGACAAGACCAAUAAGAAGCGUGGUGCUGGUGGUGCUGUCAUCUGGAGCUGCUGCGUAGAAAUGAGGUUCCAUUCUUUUUACUGCCAUGCUGUGCACCAUGUAUUAUUCUCUUCCUUUGUGUUCUACAUUACUAAUAUUCUGAUCUGUGCUUGACAGUUGGGAAACAGCAAGGUUCAACUGCAGACUUAAAUUUCUUAGAUCCGCAUUUUGUGAAGGUUUAGAAGCUGGGAGCAUAGGACACUGCUGUCUCCGUUGAGAGCUUUACAUGCUCCCGUACUUGCAUUUUGGACCUUCACCUGCCAUGUGAUGUUUAGAAGACUUAAGGAAGGGCUGUAUGAAAUCUGCUUAGUCUGGUGCAGGGUAGGGGAGGGCUAGCAGCCCGGUUCAGGUAAACAGCCUCGCAGACCAGUCUACACAUUGUAACAUGAGGUUUUGUAGUGCUUUAAGUCGUGGAGCUGUAAUAAUAUUUGUAUUUAGCUUGCAUUUCUGUUUGGUUAAACUCCUGAUGGAGGUGGGCUGUCUGUUUGAAUGUCACGUUAGAUGAGCUGUAUGCACCUUUUAUUUGUUAAUUUGGUU